GGCUCCUGGGACAGGACUGGAAUGGAUCAUGCACUACUACACUGACUCUAAAAUAAGAAGAGAGACAUUCUGCAGAGGAUCUCUGACACUGUGUCACAAGGAUCUUAUUUAUCAUGUCUGGAUUCAUUCAUGCCAUGUUCCUCAUAUGUUCACUGCUGCUACUGAUUGCCACUUGUGUCCACUCUCAGAUUGUCCUCACAUAGCCUGAGGAGUCAGUAGUAGUGGCUCCAGGUGGAUCCCACAAACUGACCUGUGCCUGCAGUGGAUUCAGUGUGGGAGCUGCUGAUGUGCACUGGAUUCGUCAGGCUUCCCUUUUACACGACAUACUUAAAGAUGAUUUAUUUUAGGACUAGUGGAAAUGGGCUGUUUUUCCAACAUGUGGAGACAAUUUGCUAUCUGUUAGUCAUAGGCUUACUUUUUAAAGUUCUAAUAUAAGGACUUUUUCAACAAUUGUUUUAUACUUAUGAAACACUACAAGAGCAUAUCUGUUGACAUAUAAGUAAAAAUAUAAAUGCAUUAAAUAGACCAAUAAAUUUAACAGUGAGUCCUGAUGUCCCAUACCAGUUUGUCCUCACACAGUCUGUGCAUUCAUUGUAGUGGCUCCUGAUGGAGCCCACACACUGAUCUUUGCCUACAGAGGGUUCAGUGUUGGAGAGUCCAAAAAUCAGCAUGUGCUGGAUCUGCCAGGUUCCUGGGAAAAGACUCAAGUGGAUUGUUUUCUAUUAUUCUGAGUAGCAAGAGCUCAGCUCAUGCAGUACAGGGUGAUGAGGCAGUUAAGCUAUGGAGAGCAGAGAUCACUCCAGAACAACAACACAACCAUGUUCUCCACACCUCUUCUGCUCCUGCUGGCAGCUGCAUCCUAUGUGCAUGGUGAAGAACUGACUCAGCCUGCUUCCAUGACAGUGCAGCCAGGCCAGAGUCUGUCCAUCAACUGCAAAGUCUCAUAUUCAGUUACUAGCUGGUACACAGCUUGGAUCCGACAACCUGCAGGAAAAGCCCUAGAGUGGAUUGGGUAUAUCAGUAAUAGUGGGGGUACAGCUUACAGUGAUAAACUAAAAAACAAGUUCAGCAUCUCUAGAGACACUGGCAGUAACACAAUAACAUUACAAGGACAGAAUCUGCAAACUGAAGACACAGCUAUGUAUUACUGUGCAAGAGACUCACAGUAA